AACGAACGCUGGCGGCAGGCCUAACACAUGCAAGUCGAGCGAGGACUUCGGUCCUAGCGGCGGACGAGUGAGUAACGCGUGGGAACGUGCCCUUUGCUACGGAAUAGCCCCGGGAAACUGGGAGUAAUACCGUAUGUGCCCGAGAGGGGAAAGAUUUAUCGGCAAAGGAUCGGCCCGCGUUGGAUUAGGUAGUUGGUGGGGUAAUGGCCUACCAAGCCGACGAUCCAUAGCUGGUUUGAGAGGAUGAUCAGCCACACUGGGACUGAGACACGGCCCAGUCUCCUACGGGAGGCAGCAGUGGGGAAUCUUAGACAAUGGGGGAAACCCUGAUCUAGCCAUGCCGCGUGAGCGAUGAAGGCCUUAGGGUUGUAAAGCUCUUUCAGUGGGGAAGAUAAUGACGGUACCCACAGAAGAAGCCCCGGCUAACUCCGUGCCAGCAGCCGCCGUAAGAC
rnacentral:rRNA from 1 species